GACCGCGUAGCUCAGUUGGCAGAGCAUUGGGCUAGUAUCCAAAGGUCGUAGGUUCGAUUCCCACUGUGGCCA
rnacentral:tRNA from 1 species